UACGUAGGGUGCGAGCGUUGUCCGGAAUUAUUGGGCGUAAAGAGCUCGUAGGCGGUGUGUCGCGUCGGCCGUGAAAACCUGGGGCUCAACUCUGGGCGUGCGGUCGAUACGGGCAUCACUUGAGUUCGGCAGGGGAGACUGGAAUUCCUGGUGAUAGCGGUGAAAUGCGCAGAUAUCAGGAGGAACACCGGUGGCGAAGGCGGUUCUCUGGGCAUUAACUGACGCUGGAGGAGCGAAAGCAUGGGGAGCGAACAGG
rnacentral:rRNA from 1 species